rnacentral:rRNA from 1 species
GACGACGCUGGCGGCGUGCCUAAUACAUGCAGUUGAACGCUUGAUUUCACCGAAGCUGCUUCACCGAAAAUCAAGAGUAGCGAACGGGUGAGUAACGCGUGGGUAACCUACCUAUCAGCGGGGGAUAACUAUUGGAAACGAUAGCUAAUACCGCAUAACAAUGUUGGAUGCAUAUUCGACAUUUGAAAGUACCAACUGGUACACUGAGAGAUGGACCCGCGUUGUAUUAGCUAGUUGGUAGUGUAAUGGACUACCAAGGCGAUGAUACAUAGCCGACCUGAGAGGGUGAUCGGCCACAUUGGGACUGAGACACGGCCCAAACUCCUACGGGAGGCAGCAGUAGGGAAUCUUCGGCAAUGGACGAAAGUCUGACCGAGCAACGCCGCGUGAGUGAAGAAGGUUUUCGGAUCGUAAAACUCUGUUGUUAGAGAAGAACGUUGCAUAGAGUGGAAAAUUAUGCAAGUGACGGUAUCUAACCAGAAAGGGACGGCUAACUACGUGCCAGCAGCCGCGGUAAUACGUAGGUCCCGAGCGUUGUCCGGAUUUAUUGGGCGUAAAGCGAGCGCAGGUGGUUUAAUAAGUCUGAUGUAAAAGGCAGUGGCUCAACCAUUGUGUGCAUUGGAAACUGUUAGACUUGAGUGCAGUAGAGGAGAGUGGAAUUCCAUGUGUAGCGGUGAAAUGCGUAGAUAUAUGGAGGAACACCGGUGGCGAAAGCGGCUCUCUGGACUGUCACUGACACUGAGGCUCGAAAGCGUGGGUAGCAAACAGGAUUAGAUACCCUGGUAGUCCACGCCGUAAACGAUGAGUGCUAGUGGUUUGGGGCUAUCCAGCCCUAUAGU